AAACUACCUGCACUCACGUGGUUAGUGGUUACUGGUUAUUAAAACAAUGGCGUCGAAGUUGUAUCAUACUGGCAUCCGUUUUAGUGCUCACAAUUCAUUCAGGAUGCAAACUAUUCAAUCACUCAAUAGGAAUCUGAAAAGUACUGCAUCACAUGCAUUCUUUGUCAGAAGGAUCAAAACUAAUAAUAUACCAGCAUACCUUGAUUACAAAGGUAUUGGAACAAGAACGUUGACAAUAGUUA